rnacentral:rRNA from 1 species
GACGAACGCUGGCGGCGUGCCUAAUACAUGCAAGUCGAACGCAGUGGGGACGGGUGAGUAACACGAGGGGAACCUCCCAUCAGAGGGGAUAACACUUGGAAACAGGUGCUAAACCGAUACUGAUGGAUGGACCCGCGGUGCAUUAGCUAGGUGGUGAGGUAACGGCUCACCAAGGCAACGAUGCAUAGACGCCCUGAGAGGCGCAUCGGCCGCACUGGGACUGAGACACGGACCAGACUCGUACUGGAGGGCCCAGUAGGCCCUCUUCGUCCUUGGAGUACAGUCUGACCGAGCAACGCCGCGUGAGUGCACACGGUUUUCGGAUCGUCCAACUCUGUUGUUGGAGAAGCGGUAUCUAACCAGAAAGCCACGGCUAACUACGUGCCGGCAGCCGCGGUAAUAC